rnacentral:lncRNA from 1 species
AUAAAAGAAUAACAAUAAGUGAGGAUUACGUGCAUAUUUCGCAAUUCCUUUGAUAAGCACCACAAGUCAUUAUUUUUUUUUUUUCAGAAAAGAGUUUAAUUUUUUUAUUUUUUUUAAAAUGAUGGAACUGCAGAUAGAUUCAAAGAUAGAGAAAGGGAAAAAAAAUUAUUCUUUGCAUAUUCUUUCACGAGCUCCAAGAGCCAGCCUGC